rnacentral:rRNA from 1 species
UACGUGGGGUGCAAGCGUUGUUCGGAAUUACUGGGCGUAAAGCGCGUGUAGGCGGUUUGUUAUGUCAGGUGUGAAAGCCCUCGGCCUAACCGAGGAAGUGCGCCUGAAACUGGCAGACUUGAGUACGAGAGAGGAGGACGGAAUUCCCAGUGUAGAGGUGAAAUUCGUAGAUAUUGGGAGGAACACCGGCGGCGAAAGCGGUCCUCUGGAUCGAUACUGACGCUAAGACGCGAAAGCGUGGGUAGCAAACAGG